rnacentral:rRNA from 1 species
CGGAAUCAUUGGGCGUAAAGCGCACGUAGGCGGUCUGUUAUGUCGGAUGUGAAAGCCCUUGGCUCAACUGAGGAAGUGCAUCCGAAACUGGCAGGCUAGAGUACUAAAGAGGAUCGCGGAAUUCCCGGUGUAGAGGUGAAAUUCGUAGAUAUCGGGAGGAACACCGGUGGCGAAGGCGGCGAUCUGGGUAGAUACUGACGCUGAGGUGCGAAAGCGUGGGGAGCAAACAGG